rnacentral:rRNA from 1 species
AUUGAACGCUGGCGGCAGGCCUAACACAUGCAAGUCGAACGAGUGGCGGACGGGUGAGUAAUGUCUGGGAAACUGCCUGAUGGAGGGGGAUAACUACUGGAAACGGUAGCUAAUACCGCAUACCAUCGGAUGUGCCCAGAUGGGAUUAGCUUGUUGGUGGGGUAAAGGCUCACCAAGGCGACGCUCCCUAGCUGGUCUGAUAGGAUGGCCAGCCAGCCUGGAACUGAGACACGGUCCAGACUCCUACGGGAGGCAGCAGUGGGGAAUAUUGCAAAAUGGGCGCAAGCCUGAUGCAGCCAUGCCGCGUGUAUGAAGAAGGCCUUCGGGUUGUAAAGUACUUUCAGCGGGGAGGCGUUACCCGCAGAAGAAGCACCGGCUAACUCCGUGCCAGCAGCCGCGGUAAUAC